GUCGAGCGUCAGCAUGAAAUCGUAUCUUAAUACUUAUAAUGUAUAAUAUUAUGUAUAUAUUUCUAAAAAAUUACAUUUUUUUCUAUAGUUAUCAUCUUAAAAGCAAAUAAUCAAGGAAUCAUUAAGAUAUAUAGUCAGAAGCGCACAAAAGCUCGAAUAGUGUCAUUUAAAUACUACUAGCCGAUAUUAUAAAACGUAUGAAAAAACAAUGCCGCAAUAUAAAUCAAGUAUAACCUUUAUGAAGUUAUACGACAUGCAACAAUAAAGUAAAGGACGAAAAGAAAGAGAUCAAUGCUAAGGAUUCAUGGAUAUAUUACACCACUAAUAUGAGAAAUUUGAAAGAGAAGGUACUGCUUAAUAUAUUUUUGCAAUAGAAUUAAAUAUAAUGUAUCUAGAGUUUAGACGUUUAUUUAUAAGUUACAAAAUGUUUCUCAAAACACAGUAAAAUAAUAAAAAAAAAAUAAAAAUGGUGAAA